rnacentral:rRNA from 1 species
AAUAUUUGACAAUGGGCGCAAGCGUGAUCCAGCAAUACCGGAUGUCGAAGAAGGCCUGCAGGUUGUAAAGCUGUUUCAGCAGGGAAGAAACGCAAGGGACUUAUACUCCCGCGGUUCUGACGUUACCGCACAAGAAGCCCCGGCUAACUCCGUGCCAGCAGCCGCGGUAAUACGGAGGGUGCGAGCGUUAAUCGGAAUUACUGGGCGUAAAGCGCGCGUAGGCGGUUGGGUAAGUCAGAUGUGAAAUCCCCGGGCUUAACCUGGGAAUUGCAUUUGAUACUGCCCGAUUAGAGUAUGGGAGAGGGAAGUGGAAUUUCCGGUGUAGCGGUGAAAUGCGUAGAGAUCGGAGGGAACACCAGUGGCGAAGGCGGCUUCCUGGCCCAAUACUGACGCUCAGGCGCGAAAGCGUGGGGAGCAAACAGGAUUAGAUACCCUGGUAGUCCACGCCGUA